rnacentral:rRNA from 1 species
GACGAACGCUGGCGGCGUGCUUAACACAUGCAAGUCAAGGGGGCCCAGCAAUGGGCAACCGGCGAACGGGUGCGUAACACGUGAGCAACCUACCGAACUGUGGGGGAUAGCCGGCCUAACGGCCGAGUAAUACCGCAUACGCUCUCAGUGAGGCAUUUCAUUGAGAGGAAACCUACGGGACAGAUCGAGGGGCUCGCGGCCUAUCAGCUAGUUGGCGAGGUAACGGCUCACCAAGGCAACGACGGGUAGCUGGUCUGAGAGGAUGGCCAGCCACAUUGGGACUGAGAUACGGCCCAGACUCCUACGGGAGGCAGCAGUGGGGAAUCUUGCGCAAUGGCCUAACGGCUGACGCAGCGACGCCGCGUGUGGGAUGAAGCUCUUCGGAGUGUAAACCACUGUUGCCCGGGACGAACAGCUCGAUUAGUCGAGCCUGACGGUACCGGGUGAGGAAGCACCGGCUAACUCCGUGCCAGCAGCCGCGGUAAUACGGGGGGUGCGAGCGUUGUCCGGAAUCACUGGGCGUAAAGGGCGCGUAGGUGGUUUGAUAAGGGUGUGGUGAAAGUCCGGGGCUCAACCCCGGAUCUGCCGUGCCGACUGUCAAACUCGAGGACUGUAGAGGCAGACGGAAUUCCGGGUGUAGCGGUGGAAUGCGUAGAGAUCCGGAGGAAGACCGGUGGCGAAGGCGGUCUGCUGGGCAGUUUCUGACACUGAGGCGCGACAG